rnacentral:rRNA from 1 species
CCUACGGGUGGCAGCAGUGGGGAAUAUUGCACAAUGGGGGAAACCCUGAUGCAGCAACGCCGCGUGAGCGAUGAAGGCCUUCGGGUCGUAAAGCUCUGUCCUAAGGGAAGAAUACUGACGGUACCUUAGGAGGAAGCCCGGGCUAACUACGUGCCAGCAGCCGCGGUAAUACGUAGGGGGCUAGCGUGAUCCGGAAUUACUGGGCGUAAAGGGUACGUAGGCGGCCCUUCAAGUCAGAGGUGAAAGGCUACGGCUCAACCGUAGUAAGCCUUUGAAACUGUAGGGCGUGAGUGCAGGGGAGGAAGGUGGGACGCCAAGUGUAGCGGUGAAAAGCGUAGAUAUUGGGAGGAACGCCAGUUGCGAAGGCGGCGCUCUGGACUGUAACGGGCGCUUAGGCGCGAAAGCGUGGGGAGCGAACAGGAUUAGAUACCCGGGUAGUC